rnacentral:lncRNA from 1 species
UUUGGGGCAGAUAUCAUUACCUAGAGAAAACUGAAACAAGAAAUCCUUAAAAAAUGGGGGUAAAGAUACACAGGAAAAGCUACGAAUUCUAUGAUAACAACAGGAAUAGUAAGGAAUGAUUUAAAAAAAAGAAAAGCAGAGUAUUUAUCUCUGAGUGGAGCUGAAUUUUCAUCAUUUCAAGAACAGAGGUUUUUUUGUUUUUGAAUCUUAGAGUGAUAACCCUGCCUAUCUACUACAAUAAAACAAGAACCACUAUUAUAUAGACUAAAGGUGAUCCUGGCACAUUUCCAUCAAUUAUAAGGACUACUACACAACAGUUCAAUUAUCUCCCCGAAAAUUUCAGAAUAUCUAUAGCACUGAACCACAUACGCAAAUAUUUAUCUAUAGCUCUACACCUCUAAAACAAACACGACUCCUCCUUUCUAACAAGGCACAUAUAACCUAAAGAAAAGCAGAGUAUUUUUUCAUUACUCAGAUCUUAGUAUACUAACUCUGUGCCUCCAAUUCUGAUUCGCAUUACCCAAUUUUAGCAUGUGUCACUCUGUAUUAUUAGUUUCUAAGGUUGCCUAAAACACUUGCUGUUGAGUUAGAUAUAUAAUCCACUUGAGCAAUGAAUUUUCUUCUACACUCAGUUAACAACCAUAUC